rnacentral:lncRNA from 1 species
GACCGCAAUUCCAAUUCCACUUCCACUGGCAGUGAGAUAUAUAGAGGCAAAAAAUUCCACUUGUAACAGUUUUUGUCCUUUGAACAAUGCCAUUGUUAAGGCUCCACUUACACAACAAACUAUCCCUAAUAUUCGGGCAAUGCUCCUUAAGCUUCUUUAGACCAAUUUUCUCAAAUCCAACAAUUGCUUGGAAAUAUGCAUUCUGAUUUGCUGUUACUCCCUGUUGAUCAUUCAAGUAGGAAUCAAACUUAGAUUUUAAUUAUUUAGCUUCUUGAGGGAUACAAACUUUCAUUGGUUUUUAAGACUUUUUCUCUUUGCUUUAUACUGGUUGUGUCGUUGGAUUGUCAAAUGCUUCCAUGAAUCACGAAACGAUGUUAUGUAAUUUUUUUGAGUUUUGCACCAAAGAUAAAAAGUAAAGGCCGGACAAAAUUGAGUGUUCACAAUGACAAACCAAGAUCUCCCCCUUUUUGAUGAUGACAAACCAAGAUCUUCUUGACGGUGUAAUUUUCUUGAGAGC